ACCUCCAAGAAAGCUACUUCCAAGCCUUCUCCAGGUUCCCGCAGAUCUUGGGUACCUGGAGCAGGCUUGGGAGUAGCUUUCUUGGAGGU